rnacentral:tRNA from 1 species
GCGGGUGUAGUAUAACGGCUAUUAUAAGGGCUUUCCAAGCCCAAGAUAGGGUUUCGACUACCCUCACCCGCACCA